GUACAUAAUUUUAGAUACAUUCACUGCUUAUGUUUAAUUGAUAAUUACAUUUAAGUCCUCCUUCAUGCACUUUUUAAUUGUGUCUUUUGCUAUUAUAACGUAACUCGCCUAAUCUUCAUAAUGGUCUGCACCUUGAUCUGUCCUAUUAAGUGUGAAUUAAUACGAUAAUAUAUUUAAUAUUAUCUGCUGGCGACGGCAUACAAAAUGUUAUAUGAAGUAGAUUUCCUUGGUGGUUAUCAAUUACUUGGUAAGUUCCCCUAAAUUUUAAAAUUACCGCCAUGCUAUUUGAGUUUUCACCAUCUAGGUCUUAGUGCUCAGUGUCUUUAAGUGAGUAUUGAAUAAAAGGGUAUCUAAUCCUUGUUUGUGGUCAAUAUUUGCUAUUAAUUAGGUUAUAUCAGUAUGUAAGUAUUAUUUCACCAAUAUUAUUUAUAUAACUGUAUUACACUAUUUUAGUUUAUUACUAUCAAAGUCUGACCGCGACUGCUGGCACUUUUUAAGUCAUAGUAUUUAUAAGUGGUUUAAUCUUAUUUGCGUAAAUUUUAAAUUCUCUUGCCUGGUAAUUCCUUUUGGUACCAUUAGUAUCCUAUUUUAUAUAAACGAUUCACCAU
rnacentral:rRNA from 1 species